AGUGAACGCUGGCGGUAGGCCUAACACAUGCAAGUCGAACGGCAGCACAGUAAGAGCUUGCUCUUACGGGUGGCGAGUGGCGGACGGGUGAGGAAUACAUCGGAAUCUACUUUUUCGUGGGGGAUAACGUAGGGAAACUUACGCUAAUACCGCAUACGACCUACGGGUGAAAGCAGGGGAUCUUCGGACCUUGCGCGAUUGAAUGAGCCGAUGUCGGAUUAGCUAGUUGGCGGGGUAAAGGCCCACCAAGGCGACGAUCCGUAGCUGGUCUGAGAGGAUGAUCAGCCACACUGGAACUGAGACACGGUCCAGACUCCUACGGGAGGCAGCAGUGGGGAAUAUUGGACAAUGGGCGCAAGCCUGAUCCAGCCAUACCGCGUGGGUGAAGAAGGCUUUCGGGUUGUAAAGCCCUUUUGUUGGGAAAGAAAAGCAGCAGGUUAAUACCCCGCUGUUCUGACGGUACCCAAAGAAUAAGCACCGGCUAACUUCGU
rnacentral:rRNA from 1 species